ensembl:lncRNA
GGAGAAACUAGAGCACUUGCGCUCUAGAGAAAAGGGCUAUGAAAUUAUCUCAAAAAAAAAAAAGAGAGAGAACGAUUCGAAGACGUUCAUAUGGUUACCUGCCUGAGGUCCGAUCAUCCAGGUCUCAAGCAUCUUCAGAUCCCACUAGCUUGCUCUGUUCGAGCAGAUCACGCGUAUCGAGCGCUCAUCACGGCCAGAAAAAAAAAAAAAAAGCCCCGACACAAACUAAAAAGAGCAAGAAUGUUCGAUGCGUGUGACCUGCUGGAGCAGAGAUCUUAACCAGAGGACUAUGACGCACCUGACCUACAUGCGGUAGACGUCGAUGUCGUCGUCGUCCCUGGUCUGACUAAUCUGAGAGGGGAGGCUCAAGGAUUACAGAGUUGAGUAAGCAAGCACAACCUGAAACGCGUACACAUGAAAUGUAUCAAGACAAACUGGCAGUGAGAUCAAAUAAUAAAAAAAUAAACAAAUAAACGAGCAACGAAAACAGCAUCAUCUGAAUGGCAGCGGUGUUAAUAUUAAAUUAACGUGUAAAUAUUAGCGACAGCGCUGUGAGAGAGAAAAACAGCAGCGGUCUGCCACAGAAUGGGCAGUGCCUUUAUUUCGGGAAUCUGACCAAGGUGGCCUUUGAUUAAAAAAAAAUCAUUAAAAAAAGACGCUUUUAUCCCAAUUGAGCAAAACAAGACGUUAAAUCAAGAUGGGCUGAUUGGUCUUUUCUUUUUUUUACUUUCUUUCUUUUUUUUUUUUUUAAAGCAGGAUCUCCAUUAAUCUUCGCUGUGCCAUUUGUUAUGUUUCAUCAUGUGGCCAUGUCGUGUCCAUAGAUAAAACGUAUCCAUGUAACCUUUCACUUCCAUGGUGAUUUAUGCUUUUUGUAGCACUCAAUAAUGCCCACUGUCAAAAAAAAAAACAAAAAAAAAAAACAUCACCACCAAUACCACCACCAACAACAACGGGAGUCCUAUAAGAAAACAUGAAAUGACCUUUAUUAUAUCUGUUCUGUGCCUCUGGCAAACAAAUAUGCUAUGGAAUGUCCUCGUGUCCCUGUAGCCAAAAUCUACACGCUAUGUACGUGAACAUGUAUCAAUAUGCAUGAUUGCCAUUAGAAGUUAGUACACUGCUUGACCUUUACUAUUCUUCGUAAUGAUGUUUUUUGUUUGUUUGUUUGUUUGUUUGUUUGUUUUAUGCGUUUUUUUCUCUGGAACACUCCUCUCCGAGAGCCGGCCAAAAAGUCUGAGCGCAGGAUUCUCACCCAAAACCCUGAACACGGCUGUACACACACACACACACACACACACACACACACACAUACACACAGCGAAACUACAAGGUCACUUGUAUGUUUGUGCACUUCAGUUUAAAAACAAAAAGGACAAAAAAAAAAACCAACAACAAAGGAAUCAAAAACGAAAAAAAAAUCAGUUAAGUUGGACAGGAAUAGUUUUUACGUUCUUCGGUUGUUGUUUUUUAAAUUAAAUUUUUUUUUUUGUUUGUUUUUUUUCUUUCUUUCCAAUUCCAGUUUCUCAGAUCUGAGAUGACGGUUACGCAUGGGCUCCUAAAGCUGUUCCUCCUUAAGAUGUCCCCGAUACCAUGGCAAACCUAUUCCAACUAAAUUAUUAUUUGUGGAUUUUAGUGUUUUACUUUUUCUAUUUUUUAAAAAAAAAAAGAACCCAAUGUUAGGAGUAGACUAUUUUACCUUAAGAGCAAUAGUUAUAUUUAGUAGAUCGUUAUUUGCUUUUUAUUUUUUAUUAUUAUUAUUAUUAUUAUUAUUAUAAUUAUUUUAUUUUAUUUUUCCAUUUCUUGUGUCUUUAGAUUGUGUACGAUGUUAUAUAUUUGACGAAAAAAAAAACAACAACAAAAAAAAAACAACAAAAAACAAAGGUUAAAGCUGAAUUAUAAAGGAAUGCCUGAAAUACAAAUUCAAUUAUAGCACUUGAGAUAAUACAAGGAAGGAGAAUGAAGGUCAGAUAAAACCACACAUUCAGCUUCAAGUCUUCAUCGGUAGAACAUUCAUGGUCUAUUUAACAUAGUCUUGUGCCUUGAAGUUUCAGUAAUAGAACUUUAUACGGUAGUUGUAUUUUUAUUCUGAGUCCUGUGUUUUGCCUCUUGUUGGUAUUCAGUGCUUUGGCUGUGUUGAGGAUUUAUAGAGACUGAGGAUAUGUUUGUCUUGUUUUAUUUUUUUCGUACAGGAAAUACCACAUUUGGAAUAAAUUAGGACAAAUGUUACCUGGGCAAUAUUGACUGUGUAGAAGAUUCGCGUCGAGGACUUGAAGGUCCCGGAAGAAGUUUUCCUUCAUGCGUGAUUGAUACAGUAGUGUCCAAAGGUCUGAGAGCGCACUCGAAUGCGUCAAUACCGAGUCAUUUUCAUACAGGUAUACAGAUUUUCAUUACAAAUUGAAACGUGCUUUAACGACAGCGUGCAC